rnacentral:lncRNA from 1 species
UUAAAUUUGUAACCAUUAAACAGAUAUUAAACAAAUCAAAGUCAGAGCUCAUAUUUACACUGUCAGAAUACACUUGGUAAUUCUUUAAAAGAGGCUUGAAUUGCCAAAACGUCUUGUAUUUAAAAACAGAUGGUGUAUUUAGGAAUGGAAGAGAAACAAAAGAUCAGCAGGCUGCAGUGACGUCUCCAAGAUAACAGUGGAAGAGCUGGCACUACGUAUGGCAUGGAUGGUCGACGCACUAGUCAAGUCAAUCUUCUCCCCUGAAGAGAUGGAAGAGAUGCUCCCUCAUCAGGAAGUCAAUGUUCUACGGAUCGCUCACAGCCACGGGUGAUGGACCCGUACAAUCGUAUGCAGCGCCGAGGAAAAGGAAAGGCAUACAAAACCCGCCGCCGAUUGAGAACCACCGCACCUUCAAUACGCGCACGAGACCAUCCGGAGGGCCCUUGAUUGGAUUCCCUGUCUGAACGGAGCCCUGCGCUGUUCUUCCCUACAGCAACCGGCAGCAUCUUCUGGGACUUCGUUGCCUGCACUGCACGCCACACGUUUUUGUCUUCAUUAGUUCUUGUAGAGAAGAUGAUAUGAAUUCAUUUAUUUGCUUAACAUGCGAAUGAACAAAUUGAAAAACCGUGCUUCGGGAGAGGGAAAAUAAGUGCAAUAUUACAGGUUUGAAAUGGGAGAAUGCUGGAGCGGGGAGAAACGCAACGCGUUUCAGCUGAGCUAGUUCCAGGGAACUUCAUGGAGGAAAUUGGCGUCGAUAGCCAAAAGAUUGGAUUCAUGCGAACUGAGCCUGUAUCUUUGACCUUCCUUUCUGCACAUGGACAAUCAAUUAGUCAUCAUCAUACAGGACAGAGGCUAACAGGCCUAUAAAUACCAUUACCUGUUGUUGGAUCAUAUCAGCAAGUGCUUCCAUACCAACAUGGAUUUCCACUCUUCCCCUCGGCGUUUUCCGGCUUACCUCCUACUAUGCUUAUGCCUUAUGAUAAACAUAAGCAGAGGGUAUGGAUCUCAAAAGGUAUGGCCAAUUCAUCACCCUGCAUUUUAUGGCAUAGUGUUGGUUCUGUUCGAUGCUAAGAUAUGUUUUAUGUUCCUCUCCACGCAUAGCUGUACAUCGUUUACCUGGGAGAGAAGAAACAUGAUGACCCUUCUCUGGUAACAUCUUCGCACCAUGACAUGCUCACCACCAUUCUUGGAAGGUAAACCUCAGAACAAGCUUCCUAUCUUUCCGAGUUUGGUUCUGAUCUUCUGAAUGGCAAUAUACAUUUAGAGGACAGAGUAUUUCGUUCGACAAUUCCGAGAAAGGCUGCCAUUUUAUUUUUCCUCAUCACUUGUUGAUUUGUUUCAGCAAGGAAGAUGCGUUGGCCUCCAUCACUUACAGCUACAAGCAUGGCUUCUCCGGCUUCGCAGCGAUGUUAACAGAUGACCAAGCACAAGAUCUUGCAGGUGGGCCAAGUUUACUACAAAAAUUGCUUCGCUAAUUCUCUGAUGGUCUAACACUAUCCUGUUAAGAUAACCGAAUUGGAGAAUUCAAUCCUGAUGCAUGAUCCUUUCUUCUGAAGAAAGAAACGUAUUUGGUGAUUAUUAUUUGCUCAUUAGUUAAGCUGUUUAUCUUUCUAAUCAUCGAUAUGAGUUCGAGGGUGGGCAGUCAUAUGGUUCUUAUUCCCGUUUUGUGGAAACCUACUCCGGAUCAAUGUAUGGUCUCUUUUCUGCAAUACAACUUAUUUGUAGUUGUACACUCAUUUAGUAUGAAGCUGCACAUCUGCAGUAGCCUUACGAUCCUGCCUGAUUAUUAUUUCAAUUUUUCCUAUUUCUUAGGUGACUGAAAAAUAACUACUUUUAAGUCACUGCUGAGAAUUGUCCAAUCAAACUUCAGAAUUCGUGAAAGGGUAAAAUAAGGGGCGAGAAAAUUUUGAUCUUGGGACUAUCAGUAGUUAACUGAGAAGCAGACAAUUUCUUUCUCGGGUUAUGAGGAUCCUUUCUUUUUGUUACUCUGUGAUGUAUACACCACAUAUACAUAACUAACUGGCGGCUUCUGAUUUAGAAUUUUAGUUCCUCAUGUAUCUUUUUGACAUGUUCAGAGCUACCUGAAGUUAUCAGCGUUACUCCAAAUCAGCAUCAUGACUUGAUGACCACAAGAAGUUGGGAUUUCCUUGGCAUGAACCUGGACCAUCAGCCACCCAGUAAACUUCUGCAGAGGAGCAAAUAUGGAGAAGAUGUAAUUAUCGGGAUAGUUGACACUGGUCAGUCCUUCAUUGCUAACAAGUUAAAUUAGAGAAAAAAAUCUUCACCAAGCAAAUUCCUGCUAAAACACUGCAAAUGCAAUUGAUGCAGGGAUCUGGCCUGAAUCAAGAAGCUUCAGCGACGAAGGAUACGGACCAGUACCGUCACGAUGGAAGGGUGUGUGUCAGCUGGGGCAGGCCUGGAACAGCACCAACUGCAGCAGGAAAAUCAUAGGCGCACGGUACUAUCCUGCGGGUCUGGACAAGGCUGACCAAGCGAACAAUUACAUGUCGGCACGGGACAUUAAUGGGCACGGGACACAUACCGCAUCCACAGCAGCCGGUGCAAUAGUAGAGGGGGUCAGCCUCCAUGGCCUGGCAGCAGGGGUAGCACGGGGUGGUGCGCCCCGAGCGCGCCUUGCAGUGUACAAGGUUGCAUUCGAGGGCCCGAAGAAGGUGCAGCUUGCUAGUGCCGCGCUGCUAGCAGCUCUGGAUGAUGCGAUUCAUGAUGGAGUUGACAUCCUAUCCCUAUCAGUCCAAUAUAAUGACAAUUCAUUUGGUUCACUCCAUGCAGUCCAGAAGGGUAUUACCGUUGUUUAUGGCGCGGGAAAUAGCGGGCCUAGACCACAAGUCAUUUCUAACACAGCCCCUUGGGUCAUCACAGUCGCAACGAGCAAGAUCGACCGGUCUUUUCCAACUGCCAUUACCCUUGGAAACAAUCAAACCAUCGUGGUAUGCACAAACAUGAUCUUUGUUAGAAUCCUGGGAGGCAACUUUGCUCCACCUAUCAUCCUCAAACACUUACCACUCAAUAUUUAUGCAUAACUUUUCAUAUUUGCAGGGUCAAUCACUCUAUUACAUGAUAAAAAAUGAAUCCAAGAGUGGGUUCCAGCCACUUGUACAAGGUGGAAGGUGUGUCAGAUGCUAUUCGGUUUCUCAAUUGACUACAUUUAUAAAUAGAUGUCAUUUUCUGCUUAGGCAUUAAGAUCUGAAUCCAGUUGAGCAAUUAUUGUGGUCUUUCUGUUUUCAGCUGCUCAAUCGAGGCACUAAAUGGCACGGAAAUCAACGGAAAAAUUGUUCUAUGCAUUAAAGAAACUUUUGGCCCAACAGCAGACAUUCUCCCAGACGCCAUAACAAAUGUUAAAAGUGGUGGGGCAUUUGGUCUUAUUUUCGCAAUAUAUACCAUAGAUAAGCUUUUGAGCACCGAAGAUUGUGUGGGCAUUGCAUGUGUCAUUGUCGACAUUGAUAUCGGGUUUCAAGUUGCAACAUACAUUGGAAGCCAAGGGUAAGAACCUAUUUUGUGGCCUUCCAUGCUUAGUUGCUUACAGAUGUUAUCUUUUAUCCAGCAAUUAUUUAAAGACUCAAUAAACUGUGCUUUAACUUGAGCAGCUCGCCCAUUGCCAAGAUUGAGCCAGCAAGUACUAUAACAGGAAACCGAGUUCCUGCUCCAAGAGUCGCAUUUUUUUCUUCAAGAGGCCCGUCCGCCAAGUACCCUACAGUUCUUAAGGUACACAAGCUAAAAUGAGCGCAUUCUGUUGUCCUUGCAAUAUAUAUACUAUUAUUCCAGAAACAAUUUUCGGAAAAACACCAACUAGUAGGGAUUGAUCGUAAGAUUUCUCUCAGAAAUAGGGACGUUAAGAUGAUUUUGUUUGACAGGUUAGCACUACCUUCACACGGUGAAAUUAUCUUAAUCCCAUUAUAACUACUUUAACAGCCUGACAUAGCCGCACCAGGAGUGAACAUCUUAGCAGCUACAGGAGACGGAUAUGUGUUCGACUCAGGGGCAUCAAUGUCAACCCCACAUGUAGCAGGCGUCGUAGCAUUGCUAAAGGCUGUACAUCCUGAUUGGUCUCACGCUGCCCUAAAAUCAGCAAUUGUUACCACUGGUAAAUUCCUAAAACAUUAUAUCCACAUGAAACACUAUCCUCAUCAAUCCACUCACACUUUCUUAACAACGAUUUGCUCUUCUUUGCAUGGGUAAAGCAUCAACCAAGGAUGAGCAUGGCAUGCCGAUGCUAGCAGAAGCACUACCCCGGAAGGUCGCCGACCCAUUCGACUAUGGAGGAGGAAACAUAAAUCCUAAUGCAGCUGCCGAUCCCGGCCUUGUUUACGACAUCGAUCCGAGGGACUACAGCAAGUUCUUCGCUUGCACGAUUCAGAAAUACGCUAUCUGCAACAUUUCUACAUCGCCGGCAUAUCACCUAAACCUGCCUUCCAUAGCCAUUCCUGAGCUAAGGGGUCCAAUUAAGGUGCAGCGAGCAGUCACGAACGUUGGCGAGGUCGACGCGGUUUACCGAGCCGAUAUACAGUCCCCCUCAGGAGUGAGGAUCAAAGUCGACCCACCAACCCUAGUCUUCAACGCGACAACGAAAGUGCACGCCUUCAAGGUCAGCAUGACGCCUCUGUGGAAGGUGCAAGGCGGCUACACGUUCGGCAGCCUGACUUGGCGCAACGAGCGCCACUCGGUGAGGAUCCCACUAGCAGUCCGGAUCACAAUCCAAGAUUUCUACGCCGAUGUUGCAUAGUAACGAGGAAUGUCAUAUGAAAAAUAAAGAUUGGUGAUGUUACGGAUUUUAGCAUGAAUCACAAGAUUAUUUGUAGUACUUACGAUUUGUAGUUUGUACUUGAAGAAAUUUGUUUGCAAUAGAACACUACUGUUAUUGAUUUUUGUCUGAAUGCUCGGUUCUCGAUUUUACCCCCGACGAAUCACACAACGGAAAUCGCUGGAGAGAGAGGAGGAUGGCUGGGACGAACCUGGCGGCGUGGGCGGCGGAGAGCCUCGCCUGAUUAGCCG